GGACGGUGGCCGAGAGGGGAGCCUCAGUACAGAGGAUCUGCUGCGAGGGGCCUCUGCAGAAGAGCUCCUGGCGCAGUGUCUGAACAACAGUCUGCUGGAAGAGAGAGAAGAGAACAAGAGGUUUGAAGAUCAACUUCAGCAAUGGCUAUCACGAGACUCACAGGCCUUCACCGAGUCAGCCCGCCUUCCUCUCUACCUCCCUCAGACAUUAGUGUCUUAUCCUGAUGCCAUCAAAACUCAGACCAAGGUGAAGACAUCCACAAGUCCUCAGGUGAGAGCAAGUCCCCUUGACAUUUCCAGAGUUAAAGGCAGAAUGCACCAGCCUCAGUAGAC
rnacentral:lncRNA from 1 species